AUGCGCUGGCAAGCAACCAGCGGCCGCUUCGUCGAUCCGUGCGCGCGAGAUCGAUCCACUACGGCGCCACUUACUUCUUCUUCCUUCCCUCCCCUCCUCUUCCGGUGCGGGCACUGCCCUGCGAAGCUGAGCUUUCCCCAAAUUGAAGCUCCGUCAGCUCUUUACACACCACACCGGCGAUGCGGGCCACCAUAUAUCCCCGCUUCCUCAGACGAGCUCGCCGCACCCGCACUCAUCAUGGCGCAGACCCAUCUCCUGCUCUUCCUUGUCCUGGCCGCCGGCGCGGCGACCGCCGCCCGCCCCGCUGCCCCACCGCUGCCCGCCGCCGCCGCCGACAACUCGACCGGCCUGCUGAUUCCUCAGUCGGCGACCGGCGACGACGAGGCUCGCCAGGCGAUCGCUCCACCCCCGCCGCCGACCCCGCCGACGACAUCCCCGCCCGCGCCGCGGCAGACCCUCCUCCACCGCGUCGCCAUGGCGAUGGAGUUCAUCGCGGCGGCGGCGCUCGUCGCCCUCGCCGUCACCGUGGCGUGCUGCUGCUGGCGCCGCCGCCGGUGCCGGUUCGCCGCUCGGAGAUCGUCGUACAGAUGA
rnacentral:rRNA from 1 species